CUCGGCGUGCUCCGAUGAUGGUGCCGCUGCUUGCAGCAGCGAUCCGCCUUGGGUUGGCCAUUUCCGGCCUUUUUGGCCGAAUUCGGCCAAACUUGCAUUUGUUCAUGUGAUAAAACAUCCCUAGGGCCCUCGGUAGGCCAAAAAAAUUCAAAAAACUGAGACUUACUGGCGGCGGAGCUCUCGAGUGCGGCGACUCCUCAAGCGCGAGUCGCGGUUU
rnacentral:lncRNA from 1 species